AUGCACACACCUACUCCCAUGCAUGUGU
rnacentral:piRNA from 1 species